AAUGCGAUAAGUAAUGUGAAUUGCAGAAUUCAGUGAAUCAUCGAAUCUUUGAACGCACCUUGCGCCCUUUGGUAUUCCGAGGGGCAUGCCUGUUUGAGUGUCAUUAAAUACCAUCAACCCUCUUUUGACUUCGGUCUCGAGAGUGGCUUGGAAGUGGAGGUCUGCUGGAGCCUAACGGAGCCAGCUCCUCUUAAAUGUAUUAGCGGAUUUCCCUUGCGGGAUCGCGUCUCCGAUGUGAUAAUUUCUACGUCGUUGACCAUCUCGGGGCUGACCUAGUCAGUUUCAAUAGGAGUCUGCUUCUAACCGUCUCUUGACCGAGACUAGCGACUUGUGCGCUAACUUUUGACUUGACCUCAAAUCAGGUAGGACUACCCGCUGAACU
rnacentral:rRNA from 1 species